rnacentral:sRNA from 1 species
GGCAAAUGGUUUUGAGAUUUAGGGUUUUGCUGAACCUUGAUGGGGAAGCAAGUGAAGCAGAAGAAUCGAGGGAAAUUUGUUGGAAUUGGGAUUAAAGGACCUUUAUCGAAGGAGAAGAGGAUGAGUUUGAAAUUAGCAAGCCAUGUGAGGAAAAACGCUGUGAUUAAAGAUAAAUGCAGAGAGGAGAAAAACAGAGGAAGAACAAGAAACAGAGCAAGAACAGGGGAAACAGAGAGGAAUCGAGGAGCACCAGAUUUGAUUCUAGGUGGUAUGUAGUAACAAUAAGAUAUCGAGAUUAUUGCAGAAACCCAUACUUUGAUCAAGUUCUUGAGUUCUUCAUCCAUCUCUCAGAUCUUUGUUUGUGUUGUUGUUUUUGGCAAUCACCGAGGUUAUAACUUAUUACUUGGCUAUUUUUUUAUGUGUCUUGAAAUGGGAAAAACUAUAGUUACAUUGUUACAGAGGCAACCUCAAUUACAUAAAGUAGGUGAGAGGUAGAUCAAAGGCUACAAAGAAGAGCAUUAAUAUUGAGUCAUUGGGUAGUUGUGGAGUGUUGAGUAGUAAAUGUAACAAAUAUUGUAAAAUAUCUCCUUGGAAUGAGGAUCGGAGAAUGGUUGGUCAUUUGGUCUAAGUAAGAAAUUCUGGUCGCGUGAUAAAGUGAUAAGAAUCGUUGUUAGUUUUUUUUACAAGGACACAAUAAACUUUAGUUAAGCAUUUUUGUAUAACCACUACAUUUCUUUACUAAUGAUAUUUACAUUCUUAUAAAAACAAAAAAGUAUCAUUGUUAGUUUUAUAAGUUAUAACAGCAUUCGAAAGUAAGCCUUAGCUAAAAUGGGUAGAAGAUUAAUGCAUUAUGGAGAUUUUUACCUUGGGGUUUUAAUCAUUCUACCAUUUUCCUCCCAAAAUCCCAUCUCUAGCAAUUUCACGAAGUGUACUAGAGGUAAGUCACUUUUACCAAUUUCUCAUUUUCUCCAACAUCUUAUUAUUUUAAUUGAACAUGUCUCAUGACAUAAUUAUAUUAAAUUAAACCAAGUGUCCGAUAAGUUAACAAAAUUAGACAGAAUAUAGCAUAACAUAAUCAAAAUAUAAGCAAAAUAUAAGCAAAAUAAGUAGAAGUUAUAUGGUCAAUUCUGAGCAAAACACUUUUGAUGGCAACUAACUACACCAAUUCACGAAGUAGUGCAACAAUCCGAAUGACUUAAAAACAAAAGAAAAUUAUAAUAGUGAAUAGACAGAAGUUUGGUUUAGUCCAAUCAACCCGGUAUUAGAUCUCUCUUUGGUUGCAGUCCAACAUGUGUGAUUAAAAAUGGUUUGUGUAAACGUAAUCUAAAAUCCUCGUUUAAUUACACUUUUUAUUACGCAUAGUUGGAUCAGAGAGCAAUUAUUGGUUUAAGAUGUUCACUUGUAUAAGAACAUAAGAUGGUGCACUUACAUAAUCACUUGCAAUGGUCCACUACACAAACCAAAUUUAAAUUGUCCAAUAUAAGUCGAAUAUAUAAAUCAAACACUUGUUUUGUCUUAUUCAACUCAAAUUGUCCACAAAACUUUUAGAUUUGUAUUUUAUAAAAUAUAUCUAGACUUAGAAAGUAGAAACAAUGACGUUGUUUCCACGAUUUGACAUUUACCAAAGCCGUUUCAAUCACAGAAUAUCUCUUUAGUUCUCUUCCCAAAUCAUCAAAAGUAAUAUGAUUGAUAAAAUUAGCUAUAACCAUAAAUCUACGAUUUUAGCGAUUGGUUUCUACAAAGGUAGAAAAACUUGUGCUUGACGAAACCAAUAAACAAAAAGGCUUCGUCAGCUAGUCUCUCGAUCAUGCCACUCCUUGCAAGGUGAGGGAAAAACAACCAACCACCGGUCAUAACAACAAAUCCCACCGUGAGCAGUCGUGAAACCAUCUGACUCACCUUCCAUCGCCGCACCAACCUCGUCCUCUUCGCAGCGCAUUCAGCGGCAGUGCAAACUCCAUGUAAUACAAAGAACAAAGUGACUUCACCUGUCGGCGAUUCACGUGUAAAAUAGAAGAAAAUAAGCUCGUGAACCACACCGGAAACAAGGAACGAGGCAAAAACUCCCAAGAACAAAGCCUGAUCAGAGUUCAUUUUCCGACCGGCCAUUUGUCGCACCGGGAGGUAGACAGCCGGCCGGAGAAUCGCCGGGACCAUGAGGUUCCAUCGACGACCCCAGAAGUCUUGAAGAGAGGUGGAUAAGUAUGGUUCAUUGAAAUGCGGCUCGAGGUCGCACCAAAGAGAGAUACUAAGCAGAACUUUCAAGGGAGCUAAGAGAAUCUCAUACUCCAAGUAUAUAUGCAGAGAAUAGAGAACCAAUAGAACAGUCGGA